CAGUAGCCGCGGUAAUACGUAGGUGGCAAGCGUUGUCCGGAAUUAUUGGGCGUAAAGCGAGCGCAGGCGGUUAGAUAAGUCUGAAGUUAAAGGCUGUGGCUUAACCAUAGUACGCUUUGGAAACUGUUUAACUUGAGUGCAAGAGGGGAGAGUGGAAUUCCAUGUGUAGCGGUGAAAUGCGUAGAUAUAUGGAGGAACACCGGUAGCGAAGGCGGCUCUCUGGCUUGUAACUGACGCUGAGGCUCGAAAGCGUGGGGAGCAAACAGGAUUAGAUACCCGAGUAGUCCCUGUCUCUUAUACC
rnacentral:rRNA from 1 species